AUGCUGCUCCAGAACCGAGCCGGGUUAGACCUGAAAUGCGGCGCGGCUCGCUACUUCCCGGCCAGCGCGGAAGCUCCGGCACCCUUCCCGCCGCCGCCCGGCCUGCCACGCCCCCGCCGCCUCAUUGGGCGGAAGGGGCUUGGAUCGGUGGACGGAGCCCACCGCCGCACUAAAUUAGUCGACUACGUGGGGUGUCGGAAGAUGCAGGGUGGAAGCCAGACCGUCUGUACCCACUAUGGGGUACCGCGCCUCGCUGCAGGAGCCAAGGGCCCCCCACCCUCUUUCUCCAGCUCCCCCUUCUCCUUCUUUCCCCUAGCUCGACCAGGCCUCCUCCUCCUCCGUCUCUGCAAGGAGCGGCGCAGGGCGCAGGCGACUGACUGCGAGCACAGAGAGGGCUGGGGCCGCAGCUCCCUCUCCUCUCCCCAGAGCACUCUCCUAAGGGCUGGCUGCCGGGCCCUCCUGGGUAGUCUCAGUGACACUGAACCACUGGGCAUCUGCCUUCUUGACCUUGCCAUGGACAUCAAGAAAUGUGUGCAGAAAAGGGAAACGCUGCCCUGGGGCCCAGGCCGCAGCUAUGACCCACGGGCUGCCGCCGCGGGGGCAGCCUCUUCCUUGUGGGGGUACUUCCCUCUCCUGGGCAAGAAUGGGGGACAGUGUCCGCUGCCCCAGGCUGCCGUAUGCCCACUCCAGCUAGAGGGACAGGAAUUGAGACACCCCUGGUCCGAAGUGGGAACUGUUGAGGUGGAAGAGCGUCCACCCUUGACCUGCUUUUGCUGUCCUGCGUCUUUCCCCUCUGGCUCCCUGGUGCUCCCAGUCCGGAACACUUCCCCUCCUCCAUCCCCUUAGCCUUCCAUCUGGAGUCCUCCCUCCCUCUCCCCCAGUCCAAGGUGGGGACAGACACCUGAGGGGCUGCCAGCUGCUUCCCUGCUUGGCCAGGCCCACCUCACGCUGCUGUCCUGCUGUCUACAGGGGACUCGUGGGGGCUGCUAGCUUGUCUAUGCACUGUGCUCUGGCACCUCCCCACAGUGCCAGCCCUCAACCGCACAGGGGACCCAGGGCCUGGCCCCUCGAUCCAGAAAACCUAUGACCUCACCCGCUACCUGGAGCACCAACUCCGCAGCUUGGCUGGGACCUACCUGAACUACCUGGGCCCCCCUUUCAAUGAGCCUGACUUCAACCCGCCUCGGCUGGGGGCUGAGGCUCUGCCCAGAGCCACUGUCAACUUUGACGUGUGGCGGAGCCUCAAUGACAAGCUGCGGCUGACUCAGAACUACGAGGCCUACAGCCACCUUCUGUGCUACCUGCGUGGCCUUGACCGCCAGGCCGCCACGGCCGAGCUGCGUCACAGCCUAGCCCACUUCUGCACCAGCCUCCAAGGCCUGCUGGGCAGCAUUGCUGGUGUCAUGGCAGCUCUGGGCUACCCACUGCCCCAACCCCUGCCCGGCACAGAGCCCACCUGGGCCCCUGGCCCUGCCCACAGUGACUUCCUCCAGAAGAUGGACGACUUCUGGCUGCUGAAGGAGCUGCAGACCUGGCUAUGGCGCUCAGCCAAGGACUUCAACUGGCUCAAGAAGAAGAUGCAGCCUCCCGCAGCUGCGCUCACCCUGCACCUGGAGGCCCCUGCCUUGAGUUCUUCCUGACCACCCUCCCCUCCCCCACGGACACCCUGCUCCCUUUGGAAGGGAGACACCUGAAAGCCACUAACAACUGUUGAGCC